rnacentral:rRNA from 1 species
UACGUAGGUGGCAAGCGUUGUCCGGAAUUAUUGGGCGUAAAGCGCGCGCAGGCGGUCCUUUAAGUCUGAUGUGAAAGCCCACGGCUCAACCGUGGAGGGUCAUUGGAAACUGGGGGACUUGAGUGCAGAAGAGGAAAGCGGAAUUCCACGUGUAGCGGUGAAAUGCGUAGAGAUGUGGAGGAACACCAGUGGCGAAGGCGGCUGCCUGGCCCUGACCUGACGCUGAGGCGCGAGAGCGUGGGGAGCGAACAGG